rnacentral:rRNA from 1 species
AACGAACGCUGGCGGCGUGCCUAACACAUGCAAGUCGAACGGAAUUGAGGGGCUUGCUCUUCAAUUUAGUGGCGCACGGGUGAGUAACGCGUGGAUAAUCUGCCUGACGAUCUGGGAUAACAUCUCGAAAGGGGUGCUAAUACCGGAUAAGCCCACGGGAACUUCGGUUUUUGCGGGAAAAGGGGGGGACCUUUUGGCCUUCUGUCGUCAGAUGAGUCCGCGUAACAUUAGCUAGUUGGUAGGGUAAAGGCCUACCAAGGCUACGAUGGUUAGCGGGUUUGGGAGAAGGAUGAGCCACACUGGAACUGGAAAACGGUCCAGGCUCCGACGGGAGGCAGCAGUGGGGAGUUUUUCGCAAGGGGAGAAAGCGUGACGCAGCAACGCCGCGUGAGUGAGGAAGGCUUUCGGGUCGUAAAGCGCUGUCAGAGGGAAAGAAGUGUAUUGUGGCUAGUAGCCGCGAUACUUGACGGUACCCUCAAAGGAAGCACCGGCUAACUCCGUGCCAGCCGCCGCAGUAA